ensembl:lncRNA
AGUUGAUGAGAUUGGUACCCUGUAGUCAUCCUAAGAGCUGGGGUGGUGGCGACAAAUUAUUUCCUGAUGUGUUCCUCAACUAAAUCCUUAACAAAAAAAACGCAUACUGUACUACUGUAGCUUCCUUAUUUAUUCUGUUAUGUGUUCUCUUAUAGACACUUGGACGUAUCACUCAGGGAUAACUGAGAUGACCAAACCACACUGGAAAGUAUACUGAGUGCAGAGCUCACUAACAACAAAGACAACAAGCUAUCUCUGCACCUCAGCAAAACAGAAGCAAUUCUGUUCGGGUCCAAAAUGAAACUAAGCAAGUCCUCAUACAUCAGGGUACAGCUAGCAGGAGAGGUACUCACAGCCAAACAGCAGUUAAUUAAUUAGGAUGUACACUAGAUGACCGGGGAGGGGGGAGUAUGUAUGGCUAUUAAGUUACUAGGUAAGGUCUCUGCCACAAACGCGUAGGAAGGCUAGAAAGUCUAAGCUGUUGAAAAAAUAUUCAAAGAAAGUGCUAGCAAAUGUUCUCAUCUAAUGGCAUUUUGACAAUGCUAGCACCUCCUGGUUCGAAUGCUCAACUAAUCUACUAAAAAGCAAGCUUCAGGUAGCCCAGAACAAGUUGAUUGAGCUCACAUACUCAUAUUGGGUAGUAGCCAAUUUCAGGAGCUCAACUGGCUGCCCGUUGAGUCAAGAAUCACACAGACCAAGCUUAGUCUGGUACAUCGGAUCAAGCUCCUAGGUAUUUGUCUGUCCUACUUUCCCCAUGUUAGAGAUUCACACAACAGUAGAGCUAGGAUAUCUAAUGUUUGUGUGUGUGUGGUUUCAGAAGCCUG